AACGCACGAGACCUGCGGACCUGCGGAGGGAUCAUUACAAGUGGCCCCGGUCUAACCACCGGGAUGUUCAUAACCCUUUGUUGUCCGACUCUGUUGCCUCCGGGGCGACCCUGCCUUCGGGCGGGGGCUCCGGGUGGACACUUCAAACUCUUGCGUAACUUUGCAGUCUGAGUAAACUUAAUUAAUAAAUUAAAACUUUCAACAACGGAUCUCU
rnacentral:misc_RNA from 1 species